rnacentral:lncRNA from 1 species
GCCUGUCGUUUAUUUCAUGCUCGAUAAAGUAGAAGUGAAUAUGCAUGUGAAUGAUAAUAACAUCUACUUGAUCAUAUUAUCGUACAAUAUGAUGACGUAGAUAUCACUAUCAUGAUUAUAUAUUAUCACCAUUUAAUAUGCGCGCACGGCGCCGCGAAAACGCGAGGCAGUCAAAGUAGAAUCUUGUCAAAAACUGACACGUAACCGCUCCUCAAUCAGUUGUUUAAGCUGAUUGACGGAUGUUACACUCAACAGUUUCAAGAAAAAGCUGCCAUCCCUCAAUCUGAUUGAGGGGUGUCAAAUUUUUCUGAUAAACCAUCCCUUGAUGUCUAUUUUACAAGAUUUUUCAUUCAAAUUUAACAUAUUAAUAUUUUUAUAAAUAUUAAUUUAAUUUCAAACACAUAAUAUGCCCUCACAAUAAAUCUGUGUUCGACGUUUUCGAUUUCGUUAUAAAAACUGACAGAUGUCGCUUUUUAAAAAAUAUUAUAAUCAGUUCUAUAAUCGAACCUAAUCUGGAACUUUUUUCCAUCGAUGUGAACGCAUGACAGAUUUUGUUUUUUCGUAUUAUGUCGGAACGCCUGUUAUGUAUCUGGACGUUAAACGGUUGAUAAUACCAAUCAGUGUCAGUAUUUAACUAAAAGUCCUUGAAUGAAACUACGUUGCAUGAAAACCAAUCUAGUGCAACCCGCUGUGGCAUGAUGUAACGUGGAUGUAGGAUCAGCUAAUUACCGUUGUAAUUGGUAACUUCCUUAUUAGGUUAUAAUGCAGUUCGAACAUAUCAUAACGAUACAGGUCAUUGUUUCUUUAUGAAACGGCUAAUCCGAUUAGGUGUCGCGUUACAAACCUCACAAUGCACGAUUGAACAGUUAUAACAACACGUUACUGAUAUGCAACGUGACAAAGCUCAAGGAGAAGAGGCAAAAACUGUUCUUUGUCCAUUUUAAAGAUAAGCAACUUGAGGUAUUGAUUGAUCAGUGUAAUUCAAGAUCGGUGAAGUGGUCGCGGCCGUCCCAGCUUAGGAAUCUAAAGUGGUUUCCGAGAAAAAGUAUCAGAGCGUGCUUCAUAUGUACACGGGUGCCAGAGUACAAGCGCAGUACCUCUACCUAAUGAGACUCGCUGUGAAGAUAAAAGUAUUUUCGACGUUUCGGGUGUAACUUAAUAUGAAUUUUUACUGACAGCAUUACGUGCCGGCUGGCAUUAACUGCCAUAUUUUGCAUAUUACGAUUGGAGAAUGAAGUGCACCCUUUCAAUACCACCCAUUGUUUACCGAUGGAGCCUUUCCCGGUAAUGUUUAAGUACAGUUAUAUAUACGAGUGUGCACUCGAAAACGGAAAAGUUCUUUAAGUCCGAUAAUUAAUAAUUAAUUUAAAAAUUUUUAAAUUACGCACUCACGUACAAAGUCUGGAUUGUUUUUUUUAAAAAAUUGAAAAGUGCCGGCUCGAUUGUUAUAAUUCAUUCCUGCAGGAAUGCGGUGUGGUCCUUUUAGUAGUACUUUUUAAGGAGAUUAGAGGUGCCUCCAUAAAAAAAAGUGGCAAAGAAUGACGUUUUUUGUAAUAAAUUCUGCAGUCUAUCCGGUUAUAUUUCACUGUUUAUACUGUAACUGUAAGUGCGUGAUUUAUUUAGAAAACAGUAUUUUUCUAAUUUCGCCACCUGCUGGAGUUCGUUCACCUCUUUGCCGCUGCGGCGCUGAUUGCAACAUGUUAAUUAGCUAUGGGGUCAAAUUUGACACCGAAUCAUUAGAAUUAAAAUGUCAAAAACUGUCGGAACGGCUGAACCACUGUUAAUAUUAUUUUUUUUAUUUUAUUUUAUUUUUUGAUUCACUUAAUCUUGCGC